rnacentral:rRNA from 1 species
GGUGAGUAACACGUAUGCAACCUGCCCCUGUCAGGGGGACAACCCGCCGAAAGGCGGGCUAAACCCGCGUACAUGCCACCGGGGCAUCCCGGAGGCAGGAAAGGCUUCGGCCGGACAGGGAUGGGCAUGCGGCGCAUUAGGCAGUAGGCGGGGUAACGGCCCACCUAACCGACGAUGCGUAGGGGUUCUGAGAGGAAGGUCCCCCACACUGGUACUGAGACACGGACCAGACUCCUACGGGAGGCAGCAGUGAGGAAUAUUGGUCAAUGGUCGGGAGACUGAACCAGUCAAGCCGCGUGAGGGAUGAAGGUACAGAGUAUCGUAAACCUCUUUUGUCAGGGAACAAAGGCGGGGACGUGUCCCCGGAUGAGUGUACCUGAAGAAAAAGCAUCGGCUAACUCCGUGCCGGCAGCCGCGGUAAUACGGAGGAUGCGAGCGUUAUCCGGAUUUAUUGGGUUUAAAGGGUGCGCAGGCGGUCUGUUAAGUCAGCGGUCAAAGCCCGGGGCUCAACCCCGGCCCGCCGUUGAAACUGGCAGUCUCGAGUUGGAGAGAAGUAUGCGGAAUGCGCGGUGUAGCGGUGAAAUGCAUAGAUAUCGCGCAGAACUCCGAUUGCGAAGGCAGCAUGCCGGCUCCACACUGACGCUGAGGCACGAAAGCGUGGGUAUCGAACAGGAUUAGAUACCCUGGUAGUCCACGCAGUAAACGACG